CCUACGGGGGGCUGCAGUGGGGAAUAUUGGACAAUGGGCGAAAGCCUGAUCCAGCCAUGCCGCGUGUGUGAAGAAGGCCUUCGGGUUGUAAAGCACUUUCAGUGGGGAAGAAAGCCUUGGGGCUAAUACCCUCGAGGAAGGACAUCACCCACAGAAGAAGCACCGGCUAACUCCGUGCCAGCAGCCGCGGUAAUACGGAGGGUGCGAGCGUUAAUCGGAAUUACUGGGCGUAAAGCGGGCGUAGGCGGUCUGAUAAGCCGGUUGUGAAAGCCCCGGGCUCAACCUGGGAACGGCAUCCGGAACUGUCAGGCUAGAGUGCAGGAGAGGAAGGUAGAAUUCCCGGUGUAGCGGUGAAAUGCGUAGAGAUCGGGAGGAAUACCAGUGGCGAAGGCGGCCUUCUGGACUGACACUGACGCUGAGGUGCGAAAGCGUGGGUAGCAAACAGGAUUAGAUACCCCUGUAGUC
rnacentral:rRNA from 1 species